rnacentral:rRNA from 1 species
GCACAAGCGGUGGAGCAUGUGGUUUAAUUCGACGCAACGCGAAGAACCUUACCUGGGCUUGACAUGUUCCUGACCGCCGUGGAAACACGGUUUCCCUUCGGGGCAGGAUCACAGGUGGUGCAUGGCUGUCGUCAGCUCGUGUCGUGAGAUGUUGGGUUAAGUCCCGCAACGAGCGCAACCCUCGCCUUUAGUUGCCAUCAUUCAGUUGGGCACUCUAGAGGGACCGCCGGCGACAAGCCAGAGGAAGGUGGGGAUGACGUCAAGUCCUCAUGGCCCUUACACCCUGGGCUACACACGUGCUACAAUGGCGGUGACAGUGGGCAGCUACUUCGCGAGAAGCGGCUAAUCCCAAAAAACCGCCCCAGUUCAGAUUGUACUCUGCAACUCGAGUACAUGAAGGUGGAAUCGCUAGUAAUCGCAGAACAGCAGGCUGCGGUGAAUACGUUCCCGGGC